rnacentral:lncRNA from 1 species
GCCCGUCGCUCGUGAACCGCAACGAUCGAAUCGCGCCCAUCGUGCCGCGCAGCGUGAGCAGCGACCCGCGUCCGAGGCACCGCGCGUCCCACACCUUGGUCGUCGUGUCUUGGUUCCCCGUCGCGAACAGGAUCCCGUUCGGGUGCCACGCCGCGGCGAACGAAAAGUCCAGGUGCCCCUCCAUCGUCGCGAUCCGUCUCCCCGUCGCGACGUCCACGAGCCACGCCUCUUUGCUGUCGCCGACGACCACCGUCGAUCGGCCAUCCGCCGACGUCGACGCGUAAUUCACCGC